rnacentral:rRNA from 1 species
UGGGGAAUAUUGCACAAUGGGGGAAACCCUGAUGCAGCGACGCCGCGUGAACGAAGAAGGUAUUCGUAUCGUAAAGUUCUUUCCUAUGGGAAGAUAAUGACAGUACCAUAGAAGAAAGCUCCGGCUAAAUACGUGCCAGCAGCCGCGGUAAUACGUAUGGAGCGAGCGUUGUCCGGAAUUAUUGGGCGUAAAGGGUACGCAGGCGGUUUAAUAAGUCGAAUGUUAAAGAUCGGGGCUCAACCCCGCAAAGCAUUGGAAACUGAUAAACGCGAGUAGUGGAGAGGAAAGUGGAAUUCCUAGGGUAGUGGUGAAAUACGUAGAUAUUAGGAGGAAUACCAGUAGGGAAGGCGACUUUCUGGAAACAAACUGACGCUGAGGUACGAAAGCGUGGGGAGCAAACAGG